CCCUUAGAUGUUCUGGGCUGCACGCGCGCUACACUGAUGCAGUCAACGAGUUCUUCCUGGUCUGGAAAGAUCGGGCAAUCUUUUGAAACUGCAUCGUGAUGGGGAUAGAUUAUUGCAAUUAUUAAUCUUCAACGAGGAAUUCCUAGUAAGUGCAAGUCAUCAGCUUGUGCUGAUUACGUCCCUGCCCUUUGUACACACCGCCCGUCGCUCCUACCGAUUGAAUGAUCCGGUGAAUUAUUUGGACCGCGCUUGAAUCAGUUCGAGGAUAGCGUGGAAAAUCUUGUGAACCUUNUNAUUUAGNGGAAGGAGAANUCGUANCA
rnacentral:rRNA from 1 species